GAUGAACGCUGACGGCAUGCUUAACACAUCAGCAAUUGAUUGGUGGCGGACGGGUGAGUAACGCGUAAAGAACUUACCUCACAGUUAGGGACAACAUUUGGAAACGAAUGCUAAUACCUAAUACUGUGGGAGAGCUUUGCGUCCCAUUAGCUAGUUGGAGAGGUAACGGCUCACCAAGGCGAUGAUGGGUAGCCGGCCUGAGAGGGUGAUCGGCCACAAGGGCACUGGGAAACGGGCCUUACGCCUACGGGAGGCAGCGGUGAGGAAUAUUGGACAAUGGACCAAAGUCUGAUGCAGCAAUUCUGUGUGCACGAUGAAGUUUUCGGAAUGUAAAGUGCUUUCAGUUGAGAAGCGGUACCAACAGAAGAAGUGACGGCUAACUACGUGCCAGCAGCCGCGGUAAUUC
rnacentral:rRNA from 1 species